rnacentral:rRNA from 1 species
GUCUACGGCCAUACCUAGGCGAAAACACCAGUUCCCGUCCGAUCACUGCAGUUAAGCGUCUGAGGGUCUCGUUAGUACUAUGGUUGGAGACAACAUGGGAAUCCGGGAUGCUGUAGGCU